AUGCUGUGUGUCCUCAAGC
rnacentral:miRNA from 1 species